UCAGGAACAAAUAUAAAAUCUAGAUGUUCGAUGUAAAUAUUUUCUACAGUCUAAAUGUCAGGUCAUAAUUUUUAAAGGAGGAAGCUUUCGAGAAGAUAUAUACCAGUAAAAUCUUAUGGGAACCAAGACCAUAUUACACUCAUUUCCACUCAGUAAGGCUUCCCUUAUGCCAUCCAUACCAGCACCCUUUUCCAUUAUACAUGUGUUUUUCUUGGAU
rnacentral:lncRNA from 1 species